UUCAAAAUAACAUCACUGAAGAUUUUACUGAAUUUAGAAAGAGUGAAUAACUGGAAGUACCUUCCUGGUACGCUUCGGCAGCAAAGCAGGCUCGUUUGUUACCGCCAGGGGUACAUUGGCUCGACUGCGUACCAAAAUGGUAUGAUUAGGUGAGAACUGGGUAAAAUAUCUAUUAGAUCACGGAAGAAAGAACACGUGGAUGAUUGUCGCGAGCGCUGGCGCUGGCAAGAAGAGCGAGAGUUUUCGACAGGCUGUAUUUUAGUACAAAGCAAAAAGGAAAAAAGGUUUAAGAACUUCAGUGCCUUCAGAGGAUGAAGUCCAACAUCAUAUCACAAUCUGCCGCUUCAAUUAAACAAUGGUCGAAAGUAAGAGUGAGGAUUCUGACACAACUGCAAAGAGCGCUGAGGAAAAGGAAAGUGGAAAGGGAGCAUGCCUGUAUGUGUCCUCAGCAAAAAGUUCAGAUUCAACAACAAUCAUCAUCAAGAAGCUGGAGACCAUUAGGAUUUACUGUUAACAUUAGGAAUCAAGCAUUGCAUCAGCUUCACAGUUAUGUGCCUCCAUGAGGAUGGCUCUUAUUGUGUUGGAAGACUGUGAAGAAAACAAUUUCAUUGAGACUAUCAAAUCACCGAAGGAUGAUGAUACAACAAGCACACGCCCAUUGUAUUUAUUUCUUCUGGACUCCUGUCAGGUAAAGCUGUUCCUUUCUCCCUGGUUACUUAUAUCACUAUGGCAACUGGCCAAAGUAGCCCUCUCUUAUUCCUUAGUAAGGGUUAAAACCAGUUAUAUGAGUUCUUUGAGACAGAGCUGACCUCCUUGAUCAGUAGCGAAAGAAGAGGCUCUGUAGAAAUGAAAAGGAAAGUGGAAAGGGAGCAUGCCUGUAUGUGUCCUCAGCAAAAAGUUCAGAUUCAACAACAAUCAUCAUCAAGAAGCUGGAGACUAUCAGGAUUUACUGUUAAGAAGGAAUCAAGCAUUGCAUUAGCUUCACAGUUAUGCGCCUCUGUGAGGAUGGCUCUUAUUGUGUUGGAAGACUGUGAAGAAAACAAUUUCAUUGUUACUAUCAAAUACUUGAUGCAAGAGCAGUACAUUGAUGAGCUUGUGUUCAAACGCUUGACACUGGAGUGUGAUCACCUGAUAACACAACCAUGACAAUUUGCAGUUACUCCCAAAUCAAAGAGGCCUGGCAUUGUAAGAAAAAGGAAAUUUGAUACAGCUUUUCUAUCAUCAAGGAACAAUGAUUGUGAAGGAUUUUUCAUCACUGGAUAAAGUCACCAUUUCCUUGGAGGACAUGGAGAAGAAGGUCAUGGAAGUUCUUACAAAUGAAAGAAAAGCGUUUGGAAUUAGGGACAAGCAGUCAUGAAAGCUUUUAUAAGCAGAAUUUUCCAGAGUAAAUGUCCACUGUUAUUCGCUUGCUCUAAAAAAGAGUCUUAAUAUGUAAAGUAAUCAAUAAUUAUCAAUUUUACUACUAACAGUGCAUGUAACAAUACCAAACAGAAAAUCUCAUGUUGGAACUAGUGGUAACAUAGAGAAUUGUAAUGAAAUGUUUUGUAAACAAAAUAGUGAGGAAAUCAA